rnacentral:rRNA from 1 species
GACGAACGCUGGCGGCGUGCUUAACACAUGCAAGUCGAACGGAAAGGCCCUGCUCUUGUGGGGUGCUCGAGUGGCGAACGGGUGAGUAACACGCGAGUAUCCUGUCCCUGUCUUUGGGAUAACUUCACGAAACUGGGGCUCAUACCGCAUAGGAGCUCCUGCAGCAUGGUGGGGGUUGGAGAGUUUCGGCGGUUGGGGAUGGACUCGCGGCUUAUCAGCUUGUUGGUGGGGUAGUGGAUUACCAAGGCUUUGACGGGUAGCCGGCAUGAGAGGGUGGCCGGCCACAUUGGGACUGAGAGACGGCGCAGACUGCUACGGGAGGCAGCAGUGGAGAAUUUUGCACAAUGGGGGGAAGCGUGAUGCGGAAACGCCGCGUGCGGGAUGACGGCCUUCGGGUUGUAAACCGAUGUCGCCUGUGACAAGGCGUGAGUGACGGUAAUGGGUAAAGAAGCACCGGCUAACUACGUG